UCGAACGAGUUCUCGUUGAUGAUCGGUGCUUGCACCGAGAUUCAACAUGGAACGAGUGGCGGACGGGUGAGUAACACGUGGGUAACCUGCCCUUAAGUGGGGGAUAACAUUUGGAAACAGAUGCUAAUACCGCAUAGAUCCAAGAACCGCAUGGUUCUUGGCUGAAAGAUGGCGUAAGCUAUCGCUUUUGGAUGGACCCGCGGCGUAUUAGCUAGUUGGUGAGGUAAUGGCUCACCAAGGCGAUGAUACGUAGCCGAACUGAGAGGUUGAUCGGCCACAUUGGGACUGAGACACGGCCCAAACUCCUACGGGAGGCAGCAGUAGGGAAUCUUCCACAAUGGACGCAAGUCUGAUGGAGCAACGCCGCGUGAGUGAAGAAGGCUUUCGGGUCGUAAAACUCUGUUGUUGGAGAAGAAUGGUCGGCAGAGUAACUGUUGUCGGCGUGACGGUAUCCAACCAGAAAGCCACGGCUAACUACGUGCCAGCAGCCGCGGUAAUACGUAGGUGGCAAGCGUUAUCCGGAUUUAUUGGGCGUAAAGCGAGCGCAGGCGGUUUUUUAAGUCUGAUGUGAAAGCCCUCGGCUUAACCGAGGAAGCGCAUCGGAAACUGGGAAACUUGAGUGCAGAAGAGGACAGUGGAACUCCAUGUGUAGCGGUGAAAUGCGUAGAUAUAUGGAAGAACACCAGUGGCGAAGGCGGCUGUCUGGUCUGUAACUGACGCUGAGGCUCGAAAGCAUGGGUAGCGAACAGGAUUAGAUACCCUGGUAGUCCAUGCCGUAAACGAUGAAUGCUAGGUGUUGGAGGGUUUCCGCCCUUCAGUGCCGCAGCUAACGCAUUAAGCAUUCCGCCUGGGGAGUACGACCGCAAGGUUGAAACUCAAAGGAAUUGACGGGGGCCCGCACAAGCGGUGGAGCAUGUGGUUUAAUUCGAAGCAACGCGAAGAACCUUACCAGGUCUUGACAUCUUUUGAUCACCUGAGAGAUCAGGUUUCCCCUUCGGGGGCAAA
rnacentral:rRNA from 1 species